rnacentral:lncRNA from 1 species
AGUUGGAUGAGGUGUUGAGGCCUUAGGGAGGCCUCUAGAGAAGCCUGGAGCCUCUUGGUUUACAUGUUUUCACCGGAAAGCCUUGCCCAAUGUGUGUAGCUUUUUUCUCCUCAGGGAUUAGGGCUCAGGGUACUAACAGCCUAUAGAGUAGGGGACUUCCCUUCUACAAAUGGGUGCAGUUUUCAGGUGUGAACAAAUCCUGGCAUUGGAGUCUAAGCCUUGUUUCAUAAACUGAGGCUCUGAAAACACGGGUCACACAGAAAGUGACCUGACCUUGAGCUGUAGUGCAAUUGCACAUUAGGUCCCCAGUUUGUCUUUUAGGAAGUCAUCUUUCUUCUCUUCUAAGGUUUGUGGGAAAACAUCAGGAAUCCCUGGUGAGUUCUUUGCAAAAUCUCUAAGCAUGGAUUCUUGAUCUCUCUUCUAAUCACUUUUACUUUAUAGCUUUAACCCUUAAAGAAGUUGCCUGAUGGAAGACUGCACUCACCAUCACAUGCAAAGCUCUUUAGAGAUAGCUCAGUGGAUUGCUGAGGGAAACUGAGGCACGGGCAUGCGAAUGUACUGAUCCCAAAGCUACAAGGACAUUGGCUGUGCUCACUAACCAUCCCAAGGCCACCAAACAAACCAUCUGUUCUCAAAGUCCUUUCAAUGUUAAUUAUAGUUACAGUAAUCGGCAGUCGUGAGGGAUUUGUCAAGUAUCUUACAACCUGACCAAGCUCAUUUGCAUAUGUUCUCUCAGGUCUAAUACCUAAGAUGGCCUGAUGUUAAGCCAGCUUACAUUGAGAUCUUAUGUUCAGAGAAGUUAAAUGCUUGUGAAGAACAUAUAGACAGAAAACAAAUAAACAAAACUCAAGUUUCUGGUUGGUGGGAGGUUUUGCUUGUACACACUCAUCCUAAUUAAAGUUAUUUGAAAUGAGCACCAUAGACCUUCUCCUCUUUACAUCCUUACAGUGACCUUUCUGAGCUGAGGCUGGUCGUUCAGAGGGGGAAGCUGAGGUUAGAAACUCGAUAAGUGAACUGACACAGUAGCACCACAGCUUCAAGGCACUUUCUGUUCUCCUGACAUGCCUCCUGUGUGACAUGCCACCCAAGCUGUGGUCCCAGGAAGCCAAGGUCAGGGUAGUGGUUAGUACCCUGCUUCCUAUCCAGGUCUCUGUGGUAGAGGUGGGGGUGAAGGUAGACGAAGGGUUUCUUUAAGUCUCAUCUCAAGUCUAGAAGGAAGCUGGAACAGAAUAAACAGCAUCAGUAAGUUAAUGACAAUCUCUGCAUGGGUCUUGGAGGAAGACAUUCAUCACUCAUUCAUUCCCUUGUUCUCCCACUCGCCUUUCACUGAGGUCUUAUCUAAAGCACAUUCUUUGCGAGCGUUUUGCUAGGUGCCUGGAAUGCUGGGAGUUGGUAAAGCAUAGUGGAUGCCUUGGGUCAGCAGAAUGAACUGAAUGUGUAAAUUUGUCCAGACCUCUUCUGUUUUACCAUCCAAUGAACAACGCCCUUCACCAGGAUCCAGAGGCUAUCAGUUCUUCCUGUUGCUAUGGCAAAAUACUUGUCAAUGUAGGCAACUUAAGGGAAAGGGGAUUAUUUGUACUCGUAGUUAGAGGCUGCUGUCCAUCACAGCAGAGAAGGCGUGACAGCAGGAGCCCAGGGCAGCUGGCACACUGCAUCUGCAGUCAGGAAGCAAAGAUAGACAAACACUGCUGCUCAGCUCACCUCUCCUUCUUAUUCAACCCAGGACCCUAGCUCAUAGAAUGGUACUGCUCACAUUCAAGAUGGAUCUUCUCACCUCAGU